rnacentral:hammerhead_ribozyme from 1 species
ACCCGGCUGACGAGUCUCAAAUAGGACAAAACGGAAGUCAUGGAU